GACGAACGCUGGCGGCGUGCUUAACACAUGCAAGUCGAACGGAAAGGCCCUGCUUUUGUGGGGUGCUCGAGUGGCGAACGGGUGAGUAACACGUGAGUAACCUGCCCUUGACUUUGGGAUAACUUCAGGAAACUGGGGCUAAUACCGGAUAGGAGCUCCUGCUGCAUGGUGGGGGUUGGAAAGUGUCGGCGGUUGGGGAUGGACUCGCGGCUUAUCAGCUUGUUGGUGGGGUAGUGGCUUACCAAGGCUUUGACGGGUAGCCGGCAUGAGAGGGUGACCGGCCACCUUGGGACUGAGAUACGGCGCAGAAUCCUACGGGAGGCAGCAGUGGGGAAUAUUGCACAAUGGGCGGAAGCCUGAGGCAGCAACGCCGCGUGCGGGAUGCCGGCCUUCGGGUUGUAAACCGCUUUCGCCUGUGACGAAGCGUGAGUGACGGUAAUGGGUAAAGAAGCACCGGCUAACUACGUG
rnacentral:rRNA from 1 species